UGGGGAAUAUUGGGCAAUGGGCGAAAGCCUGACCCAGCAACGCCGCGUGAGGGAAGAAGGUUUUCGGAUUGUAAACCUCUGUCGCAGGAGACGAAACAAAUGACGGUAGCCAAGGAGGAAGCCACGGCUAACUACGUGCCAGCAGCCGCGGUAAUACGUAGGUGGCGAGCGUUGUCCGGAAUUACUGGGUGUAAAGGGAGCGCAGGCGGGGAGACAAGUCAGCUGUGAAAACUAUCGGCUUAACUGAUAGAGUGCAGUUGAAACUGUUUUUCUUGAGUGGAGCAGAGGCAGGCGGAAUUCCGAGUGUAGCGGUGAAAUGCGUAGAUAUUCGGAGGAACACCAGUGGCGAAGGCGGCCUGCUGGGCUUUAACUGACGCUGAGGCUCGAAAGUGUGGGGAGCAAACA
rnacentral:rRNA from 1 species